CCCUUAGAUGUUCUGGGCCGCACGCGCGCUACACUGUUCGACGCAGCGAGUCUUAACCUUGACCGAAAGGUUUGGGUAAUCUUCAGCAAAGUCGAACGUGAUGGGGAUCGAUCAUUGCAAUUAUUGAUCGUGAACGAGGAAUUCCUAGUAAGUGCAAGUCAUCAGCUUGCGCUGAUUACGUCCCUGCCCUUUGUACACACCGCCCGUCGCGACUACCGAUUGAAUGGUUUAGUGAGAUCUCUGGAUUGACGCUGGCUAGGGGGCGACCCUUGGCCAGACUGUUGAGAAACUGCUCAAACUUGAUCAUUUAGAGGAAGUAAAAGUCGUAACA
rnacentral:rRNA from 1 species